GACGAACGCUGGCGGCGUGCCUAAUACAUGCAAGUAGAACGCUGAAGAGAGGAGCUUGCUCUUCUUGGAUGAGUUGCGAACGGGUGAGUAACGCGUAGGUAACCUGCCUUGUAGCGGGGGAUAACUAUUGGAAACGAUAGCUAAUACCGCAUAACAAUGGAUGACACAUGUCAUUUAUUUGAAAGGGGCAAUUGCUCCACUACAAGAUGGACCUUCGUUGUAUUAGCUAGUAGGUGAGGUAAUGGCUCACCUAGGCGACGAUACCUAGCGGACCUGAGAGGGUGAUCGGCCACCCUGGGACUGAGACACGGCCCAGACUCCUACGGGAGGCAGCAGUAGGGAAUCUUCGGCAAUGGGGGCAAACCUGACCGAGAAACGCCGCGUGAGUGAAGAAGGUUGUCGGAUCGUAAAGCUCUGUUGUAAGUCAAGAACGGGUGUGAGAGUGGAAAGUUCACACUGUGACGGUAGCUUACCAGAAAGGGACGGCUAACUACGUG
rnacentral:rRNA from 1 species